rnacentral:rRNA from 1 species
UUAGAGUUUGAUCCUGGCUCAGGAUGAACGCUAGCGACAGGCUUAACACAUGCAAGCCGAGGGGCAGCAUGAAGUUACUUCGGUAACUUUGAUGGCGACCGGCGCACGGGUGCGUAACGCGUAUGCAACCUACCCAUAACUCUUGGAUAGCCCAUGGAAACGUGGAUUAAUACAGGAUGGUCUGAAUGAAUCGCAUGAUUUUUUCAGUAAAGAAUUUCGGUUAUGGAUGGGCAUGCGUUCCAUUAGGUAGUAGGUGAGGUAACGGCUCACCUAGCCCAUGAUGGAUAGGGGUUCUGAGAGGAAGGUCCCCCACAUUGGAACUGAGACACGGUCCAAACUCCUACGGGAGGCAGCAGUGAGGAAUAUUGGUCAAUGGUCGAGAGACUGAACCAGCCAAGUCGCGUGAGGGAUGACUGCCCUAUGGGUUGUAAACCUCUUUUGUUUGGGAAGAAUAAGCUUUACGAGUAGAGCGAUGCCGGUACCAAACGAAUAAGCAUCGGCUAACUCCGUGCCAGCAGCCACGGUAAUACGGGGGAUGCGAGCGUUAUCCGGAUUUAUUGGGUUUAAAGGGUGCGUAGGCGGUAGAUUAAGUUAGUGGUUAAAUCGAGAGGCUCAACCUCUUUCAGCCAUUAAUACUGGUCAACUAGAGUGUGGACGAGGUAGGCGGAAUAAGUCAAGUAGCGGUGAAAUGCUUAGAUAUGACUUAGAACUCCGAUAGCGAAGGCAGCUUACCAGGCCAUAACUGACGCUGAAGCACGAGAGCGUGGGUAGCGAACAGGAUUAGAUACCCUGGUAGUCCACGCCGUAAACGAUGCUCACUAGCUCUGUGCGAUAUGACAGUACGGGGUUAAGCGAAGGGGAUAAGUGAGCCACCUGGGGAGUACGCCGGCAACGGUGAAACUCAAAGGAAUUGACGGGGGCCCGCACAAGCGGAGGAACAUGUGGUUUAAUUCGAUGAUACGCGAGGAACCUUACCCGGGUUCAAAUGUUGGAUGCAUAUCGGUGAAAGUCGGUUUCCCUUCGGGGCUGCCAACAAGGUGCUGCAUGGUUGUCGUCAGCUCGUGCCGUGAGGUGUCGGGUUAAGUCCCAUAACGAGCGCAACCCUUAUCGUUAGUUGCCAUCAGGUAAAGCUGGGCACUCUGGCGAGACUGCCACCGUAAGGUGAGAGGAAGGUGGGGAUGACGUCAAAUCAGCACGGCCCUUACACCCGGGGCUACACACGUGUUACAAUGGCAAGGACAAAGGGCAGCUACCUGGUGACAGGAUGCGAAUCUCUAAACCUUGUCGUAGUUCGGAUUGGAGUCUGCAACCCGACUCCAUGAAGUUGGAUUCGCUAGUAAUCGCGCAUCAGCCAUGGCGCGGUGAAUACGUUCCCGGGCCUUGUACACACCGCCCGUCAA